GACGAACGCUGGCGGCGUGCCUAAUACAUGCAAGUCGAACGCAGUUGGGACGGGUGCGUAACACGUGGGUAACCUCCCAUCACAGGGGAUAACACUUGGAAACAGGUGCUAAACCGCUACUGAUGGAUGGACCCUCGGUGCAUUAGCUAGUGGGUGAGGUAACGGCUCACCAAGGCCACGAUGCAUAGCCGGCCUGAGAGGGUGAUCGGCCACACUGGAACUGAGAAACGGCCCAGACGCCUACGGGAGGCAGCAGUAGGGAAUAUUCGGCAAUGGGCGAAAGUCUGACAGAGCAACGCCGCGUGAGUGAAGAAGGUUUUCGGAUCGUAAAGCUCUGUUGUUAGAGAAGCGGUAUCUAACCAGAAAGCCACGGCUAACUACGUGCCAGCAGCCGCGGUAAUUC
rnacentral:rRNA from 1 species